GACUCGUGCGUCAGUGUCCUCUUGUUGCGGAGUUGCGCCUAGGGGCGAUUUUGCCGCCUAGCGCGCUGUGCCAUCGCCUCUACUGUCCGAGGGUCCGGAACUGGAGGAGAUAGUGGGACUGGCGUCGGCGACGAGCGCUUCCAGUGGUCACGGUGCUCGGGUGAGGACGCUUCCUCAGACCGCCGUCUCUGGGCCGAGGUGACGGCUGAACGAGGAGGGCCGUCCACUACCUUUCAGACGAGGGUACCCUAGAAGCUUCGUCUUCAACGUCCUGCCACGAGCCAGGACACCGCGCCGCCGACUCACUGAACACGAUCGAUUCUGCCGACACACCGACUCGGGGUGUUGAUGUUCGGCGCAGUUCCAGACAGGAACAAAGGCCGACGGAGCCGCACGAGCUGCACUGCGUCCACCGGCCGGGUCAGUGGACAGAGCGGGUGGUCCAACAGUGUGUGGACGGUACUGAGCCCUGUCCACCGGAGCCGACCACGGCGGAGGCGGCGAAUAUCAGAGUGAACAUCCCACUGGACAACGGACAACCUGCAGCAUGACAGAUGAAAAGCCUCCCCCGGAGAUAUGCGACGCAGAUGAA